GGGGUUAUAGCGCAGCUGGGAGAGCGCUUGCAUGGCAUGCAAGAGGGCCGCGGUUCGAUCCCGCGUAGCUCCA
rnacentral:tRNA from 1 species